rnacentral:misc_RNA from 1 species
AAGUCGUAACAAGGUUUCCGUAGGACCUGCGGAGGAUCAUUAACACGUAUCCCGUUAAACCCCCCUGUGAAUCUUCAUUGUGCUCCCCCAUUCCGUUAGGACGCGGCAAUCCCUGGUAAAUCAUCGCCGAACAGUUUUGAUUCAGGCUUGCAGCGCGACCGGGUCACCGGGCUCACGCCCCCCUAUCACCUUUGCAUGAAAACGGCCUGCGCUUAAUUGUGCGGCCACCAAACUCGAACAACUGUUAACAAUGGAUAUCUUGGUUCUC